rnacentral:rRNA from 1 species
GCCUACGGGGGGCAGCAGUAGGGAAUUUUCGUCAAUGGGCGCAAGCCUGAACGAGCAAUGCCGCGUGAACGAGGAAGGUCUUCGGAUCGUAAAGUUCUGUUGCAGGGGAAAAAGAGCGGAGAGAGGAAAUGGUCUCCGAUUGAUAUUACCCUUCGAGGAAGUCACGGCUAACUACGUGCCAGCAGCCGCGGUAAUACGUAGGUGGCGAGCGUUAUCCGGAAUGAUUGGGCGUAAAGGGUGCGUAGGCGGCCUGCUAAGUCUGGAGUGUAAGGGACCGGCUCAACCGGUACAGGCUCUGGAAACUG